UACUGAGCCUUUGGCUGGCCAGACCUUCAACUGGAGGAACGGUUCAGGAGAAGAACAACAACGUGACAAGGAGGAUGAGAAAAACUACUCGGACUUCUCUUUCCAAACUCAAAUUCAAUCUUCCUCAGGCAUGUUUCAAGUGGUGAGCACUGUUGUUUUUUGUCACCAUUUGACUUAAACAAGUAUUAUUUUCUGCGUGUCUUUCUGGUUAAUCUUUGAUCAUCAAAGACACUUGGAGGCCGGUUCUUAUUCUCUUUUCUGUUAUUUACAUAUUUGGACUUGUUUCUAAUGUUGUUUCUUCAGAAGUUUUCUUUGUCUUGGAUUGCUUUGUGGGGUCAUUUUAUUGUUUUUAAUGGCCCGUUGUAUUAUUUUGUUCUUCUUUGUUAAUCUUAUUUUUCUAUUUUAUUUUUGUUGGCAUAAACACGGUUUGAAUGCUUAAAACAAAACUUGCAUAGCAUAUUCUAAGUUGAAAAAGUCUAAGCUAAAAGUAUGUCAAUGCAUGUCUCUAUGUUUCGAGAAAUCCAUUAGCUGCAUAAUCACAGUAAACAAGGUUUGAUUUAUUGAUGGCUUGAAACAUGUUAUUCUUGUCGUGUAUUUGGAUCUGUAUUCUAACUACUUGUUUUACUUGAACAGCAGGAACCACUUAAGAAACAAGAUAUAUGGAAAUUCAAUGAACCUUCAAAGCGAACUGAUUUUUCAUCUGAUAGGACAGCAACAAAAUCUGAAUACCCUUCAAUUCAGAGCUUUUCCUCAGAAAUGGCAUCGGAU
rnacentral:lncRNA from 1 species